UUUGAAGGCUGAGCAGAUGAGGAUAGCUGCUGGGUUUGGAGGAUGUGGUGAAAUUUGCGUGAAUAUUUGGCAUCAAUUUUUGUCAAGACACAGCUGAAGUCACUGUCAGAAAAUUAUGCCGAAUGCAGUGAAAUCACAAGGAUGCUUAUAUAGUGGUUCAUUCUGGAACUCAGGAUUCACAAAAACAUGAUUUGGAUCUUAAUUCUUCAGGUGGAAUCCCAGGGAUUUCCAUUACCAAGUUUCAUUUACUUUGUCAUUCUUUAUUUCUGUGCAUUUUUUUUCUAUACAGUUUGAGUUAAAUCUCCACAAGUCAUCUAUUUCGUAUGAUCCCUCACAGUUCCAUUUACCUGUGGGUCAGUGGUGAAUUCAUGAGAAAAUACUGGUUUGUCAGAAUGUUAUUUAUUGGUCCUGACUGAAAAUAAGCACCAUGCUACUAAGACAAACAGUGGCGGUUUGAAUCUUGACACAGGAUUCAAUGGAAGAAGGAAGAUCCGGAUUGAUGUCUCUGACUGGUCUCAUUCACAUCUGAGCUCUGACCUGGAAUCUUGUUUAUCACACUGUUUUCUGACAACUGCAGUUAUUAAAGAGUCCAUUCCAUCUUGCCAUAGGGGGAUUGACUGUUGUUUGUGCAUGCGAGUUCACAUGGACUUCUCCCUGGGUAGCAUCUCUGGCCUUACCUCAUUGCAGUGAGCUUGCAUGAGUGCAGCACCCAGGACCAAAACAUUUGCACAGCCUGUUUUUUUUUAAUUAUAAAUUUAUUAUUACCAUUAUUAUUUAAAUAAAAUAUUGUAUCCAAAAUCUAUUUAAUUG
ensembl:lncRNA